UUUACCGGGAAAGGAAAGCUGCGCUCUACGCCGAUAUAUAAUACCCAGGGGUGGACCCAGGAUUUUACAAAGCGGGGUGAUUGAGCAGCACCUGGUGCUGCAUGGGUGGCUGGACCCCCACUCCCAGCCCCUCCCAUGAUCCCCCUCAACUAGGGCAGGCAGACUGCACCACAGGAGCAAACCCCAAAGAAGGUUAAAAACAUGCAUGGGGACACACGUAGAAGACAUGCGGUCUUCGUUCUUAGAGACAGCGUGCCCCACUUGGAGUGGGCUUUCAUCCUAGAAGCUGGACCCACUGAGUGAAAACACCACAAACUCAAACCAAAAGGUAUAUUACUUUUGCUAUAUCCACAAUGAAUGAUAAAGCAUUUUAGAAUGUGGAGAAUGAAUUUACUACUGCUUCGUCUUAUCAACGCAAAUGUUGCCUUUGCUCUUCAGCCGAAUGAAACGCCAGCUCCUGAAGAAAGCCCCAGAAGGAGGGCCAUGGAGCUGACAGAAAGACAACCAAGUAAGGUUCGGGCCAUUGAUAUUGACACUGCUCGCCCCAAUUUUUCCUGAUACUUAUUUCAUCAAGCGGUAACCUCCAUGAGAAGAGAAGGAGCAGAUUGCCCUGCAAAGCUGAGCGCCCAGGUGCUGUUUGCUCUCAAAACCAGAGACUGAUUUUUGCAGCUUGGCAGCGGUUGAAAACUGUGCCAGGGACCAUACGAGGGGGUGAACGGAGCAGUCAAACGGAAGGUCUUUAGCACUCGCAGCCUGCAGCACACAGCUUGGAAAACCUCCUGGAGGGCCUGGCUUCUGUUUGUGAGUGUGCGUCUCCAAGCGAACGACAGCCCCAGACGUGAGUCACUUGCAUCUCGAACAAAAGACAGGGAUUCAGAGCCCGUCGCCUUCCGAGGCUUUAUCACUCUGUUGUUUCUUGACUUGCUUGAGCUGAACAAGGUCAUGCAAAGCCCCCAGCUGAACAAACACACAGCACUAGAGGCAAGAGAAGGUCUAUUUUGUGUGGGCCCCGGAGGAAUUAAGAACAAAAUCUCAAGGGAAAAGUUUGAAGUACAAUUACUCCGCUCCCCACUUACAAUGGAAACAUGACACAGGUUGUUGGGUUUUUUUAAUGGCUUGCGCAUGUGUUCACAUCCUUCAGAUUGUAAUGAUUUUUGUCUUUACAUGCAGAAGAGGUUAACUGCUGUUCAAUCUUGCGUUAGCCUGCAGUAACCUUGGCAUUUAAAAGAAAAUAAUAGCUUCCAACAGCAUUUGUGAUGGUUCAUCCAUUAGGAGGGAAUGAAGGGCUUCAGCCUGUAAAACACUUUAUCUACUCUGUGCUUUCUGUGCCUUGAGCGCUUGUGACAGAAAAUUACAUAUAUGCAAGCACCCAGCCCUCUUUUCAUGAUUACAACCAAUAUGUUUCUGUUUUGAUAUUAGCUGCCUGGGUUCUGUGCAUUGUUUUUGUGAGCUGUGCAGAAGAAAUACAAAUGCAUUGUAAAAAAAAAAGGGAGGUGGGGAGGAGGGAAGCAGGAAUCCACCUAUUUUUUUUGUAAUGAAGUCCCAGAAAGAAAUUUAAAUUGCACAUUACGGAUUGUUCCCCUUUGUAAUUACUAUAUGCAAUCUCCCUUUAGUUGGGCACCAAUGUGUCACCCACUGGUUGGAGCUGUGUGCAUGUUCCAUACAGGAUUUAUACAUUUGUAAUGGGAUGAAGUAGAAUCACAGAUGGCAACAAAUAGAAUAGUGUGUGCACUACACACACACACAUGCACAUAUGCACGCGCGUGCGCAACAUCAGAUAUUGUUGGUACAGAAGAAUAGCAAUAUGUAGUCUAUGAUCUAUCAUAGACAGACUAUGGUUUGUUGGGGGGCGGAGGUUAGAGAUGCUGU